AUGAUGGUCUCGCUGUCGGCUGGGAGGUUGCAAACCGGCUGCCGCUGUUUUUCUUCCAGUCCCGGAACCAGAUGUCUGGCUCACAGAGGGCUUCCAGGCACGUCUAAGUCACUGCAGGUUUUCCUCAUCUUCCAUCAGAUGAACAGCUUCUAACUCACUUCAGCCUUCCCUUUGAUGCACAGGUUCAGAGUUUGGAGGCCUGUGAAUUAAACUGACAAAAGAUGAAUUAGCAAGAGAAAAGACAGCUUUUUAUUCACG